AAAAAAUGCAAACAAACAAAUCAAACCAACAAACCAACAACCAAUAAAUGACAACAAACAAACAAAAACAAAACAAAACAAAACAAAGGAAGAAGGAAAUAUAUAACAUAGACAAACCCAAAUGUGCAAAAUACCAAAGGACUUUGAUUUAAUGAUUAUUAUGCAUAUGAUUUUGCAAUAAGUUAAAUUUAAGUAUUUUUCCAUUGGUGGGUUAUAAGUAAAAAAAGUUGUUGUAGUUGCAGUAGUAUCCCUUAUCAUACUUGUAUAGUAUGGUUAUUUAGCGAGGAUCUUAUAGUGCUAAAAAGUCAAAAACUUUGUUUUGUUAAGAGUAAAUAACACUUUUUAGAUUUGAUGCGUUCAAAGCACGUAUCUGGUUGCAGCUUCACAAGGAACGCUCAACCCCAAAAUUUCCAAAUUUAAUACACAGAGAGCCUUAUGGGCGAAUAUGAUUUGAUAACAUUAACAGUCAAAUCCACCUAGCGUCACACGAGAAAGGUGUUAUCCUAGUUUCCCAAUCAUUUCUUUAUUUAUCUUGAAGUUCGUAGAAUUAAGGAGGAGUAUUAAUAAGAAUGAGGAACUAUAUGAUGAUCUAAUUACUACUCUUGGAGAUAUUUCACCAGUAGAGAAAUAGGCGGUUCUUUUCCUUAAUAUUUUUGCUUACAGUACAUGCAUGUUGGAGAAGUGAACCAAUUGUUGAUAGAAGCCAUUAAUUCACACCAGUUAAUGAAAAAAAAAAAAAAAAAAAAAAAAAAACAACACAAAGCUGAACCCCCAUAUGAAUUCACGAAAAUGAAAUACGUCUUUGUCUUCACAAAACAAAACCUUCUCUAAAUCUACAAACAAAUCCUUCACAGAAUGAAUUUUGACCAUAUAUUUCAAUAAUAAAACAGAAAUCCCUGAAGUUUUUAGUGUGAUUGUUUGAUCGUUGUUGAAAAUUCUGCAACUGUCAGAAUUUCAAAUAUAAAUUAUGUUUACCUUUUGUAAGUCUGAUGAUAACUUGAACAGAUUUCAAAUUUUAGAUUUUCGAUCUUCAACGAUCGAAGCAGCUUUGAAAUAAUGAUGGAUAUCUAAGACUUUGUUUUUUAGAAAAGGAAAAUGUCACAUAAAAGUGUACAUUAAUCUUAGAAGACUGAUUAAAGUCUGACAGAUUGAUAUUUAUUGCGGUUGGGUUCAGCAAAAUUAUAAUGCAUAAUAGACAUAAUAUUUAUGAACUAGUUUUUUGCCAAGCUGUUGAUUUAACUGUUUAAUCUUACAUG
rnacentral:lncRNA from 1 species